GCAUGAAUGAGGUAAGUGGUGGUGAGUGACACCCGUGAUGACCAAUCAGCAGUGAGUAUUGGCUAUAUUAGAGCUGGUUGGCUUUAGCUUGGUAUGCGUCACGUCCGGACCCUCCCCUUUUCGCUGUGUUGAUGGUGGCUUACGGUAUGUGUUGUUGUUGUUACGUAGCAUGCUGCUAACUCUUCACUAUGCAUAUAACACUUACGAUUUGCGCGCUAUAUUGCAGCUUGGCUUUCCAUCCGUGCAGUGGUGUUGUUACUACAAUCUAGCCCUCCUGUUCUUCUUGAUGUAGUUUUACGGUUGCUUUAGCGAGGAGCUGUUGACUGCCCUUUCCGGUAAGUGAGCGCUGUUUUUGUAUCACAAGGUCAGGUAUAUUUAAAAAGGGCUGAAUGAUUAAAGGGUGGGUUUUUGGUAAUGUGUAGUCCCUGUAUUCCAGCGUAACCGUGGGUGAUCUGAAUGCUGUGCAUGCUUGGCCGUGGCUCGAUACUGAAGCCUACCUAAAACUUUUUAUCUAUCCGCUUGUGGUAAGUCGAGGAGCUGAGGUCCCCACGGGUGAAGGAUCUGGUGGUGGUGGUUGUACUAUCCCAACGUUUGCUGUGUUACACCUUUUUGGAGUGUAUGAUUUGUAAUCUAAGUUCACGGUGUGGUGUGUAUGUGAAGUGUGCUCUUUGACAACGUGCGCCGGUGAUCACUCCUGUGGGUAACCUCAGCCCUGUAUGUUGUAUUUGUUUUGAUUUAUUCUUUAUCCAGCUGCCACUUACCGCAUAACUUGCAGUAAGAAUAUUGUUGAAAUCUGAAGUGAUGCGAUCCGUCUUGUCUUGACAUUGAACUGAUUGGAGGUGUAACAUACUCCUUUUAAAGAAAAAUUAACUGUUCUAUUUUUUUUAUUACUGAUUAAUAAAUUUUGUAUUUUUGAUACUCAUGUUCUCUGUCUGCCUUUAAUUAUAUAUGAGAAGUGAACCUGUGUGACCUAGUGGUCAUUUUUGUUUCCUGGGUAGUUCCCAGGUGGCGUAGUCAAAUUCCUCUGCAAGUAGGUGAACUUGCAUUGAUAGCUGUAGAGCGUCACUUCGCCACAUUUGGCGUAGUCUCGGCAGGGCCUCUAUUGUGUAGUGCAGAGACGUGAGUAUCAUUUUGUGGUUAGUGUUGGUAUUUUGUGUGUCUGUUUUUGUUUUCUUUUUCUCUUUUUUUUUGCAGAAACCAGGCAGCAGUAUUCUAUUUUGUGAGUUAAUGUGAGGAACAUCCCCACUGGGUCUUGUAUUUUCUUCAGUAGUGGAGCUGAGGUCCCCACGGGUGAAGGAUCUGGUGGUGGUGGUUGUACUAUCCCAACGUUUGCUGUGUUACACCUUUUUGGAGUGUAUGAUUUGUAAUCUAAGUUCACGGUGUGGUGUGUAUGUGAAGUGUGCUCUUUGACAACGUGCGCCGGUGAUCACUCCUGUGGGUAACCUCAGCCCUGUAUGUUGUAUUUGUUUUGAUUUAUUCUUUAUCCAGCUGCCACUUACCGCAUAACUUGCAGUAAGAAUAUUGUUGAAAUCUGAAGUGAUGCGAUCCGUCUUGUCUUGACAUUGAACUGAUUGGAGGUGUAACAUACUCCUUUUAAAGAAAAAUUAACUGUUCUAUUUUUUUUAUUACUGAUUAAUAAAUUUUGUAUUUUUGAUACUCAUGUUCUCUGUCUGCCUUUAAUUAUAUAUGAGAAGUGAACCUGUGUGACCUAGUGGUCAUUUUUGUUUCCUGGGUAGUUCCCAGGUGGCGUAGUCAAAUUCCUCUGCAAGUAGGUGAACUUGCAUUGAUAGCUGUAGAGCGUCACUUCGCCACA